rnacentral:rRNA from 1 species
GACGAACGCUGGCGGCGUGCUUAACACAUGCAAGUCGAACGGAAAGGCCCUGCUUUUGUGGGGUGCUCGAGUGGCGAACGGGUGAGUAACACGUGAGUAACCUGCCCUUGACUUUGGGAUAACUUCAGGAAACUGGGGCUAAUACCGGAUAGGAGCUCCUGCCGCAUGGUGGGGUUGGAAAGUUUCGGCGGUUGGGGAUGGACUCGCGGCUUAUCAGCUUGUUGGUGGGGUAGUGGCUUACCAAGGCUUUGACGGGUAGCCGGCCUGAGAGGGUGACCGGCCACAUUGGGACUGAGAUACGGCCCAGACUCCUACGGGAGGCAGCAGUGGGGAAUAUUGCACAAUGGGCGGAAGCCUGAUGCAGCAACGCCGCGUGCGGGAUGACGGCCUUCGGGUUGUAAACCGCUUUCGCCUGUGACGAAGCGUGAGUGACGGUAAUGGGUAAAGAAGCACCGGCUAACUACGUG